rnacentral:rRNA from 1 species
AUGUUUAGGUUGUGUUCAAAAAGUCCUCUCACGUCACUUUUGGGCCAAGAGAAGAUAGAGUUCAAGUCGCUCACGUUCUGGAUUCAGAUUCGGACUGCACAGACAUACCUGACUCAAAACGCCAACAACUUUUUCAUAUGGACUCCGAAUUGGGUGAUUAUUUUUUUGUUGGAAACUAGAUUUCGUGUUCUUUCCAUCCUAAUUGGAUUCACCUUCAAAUUCGUCCGGAGCAUUGAGUUACGGACGAAACAAUCUGACGUUGCAGCAGAAUCCGAGUCAAACUACAAGCCCAAAGGUGUUGCAUCAUCUCCACUUGGGCCCAUGAGCCUUGUACGACCUAGGGUUAGUUUUAGGCUGCCUUCGGACGUCCUCCCACCUCCUUGGCCGCCACCCCUUGCUCCUAUAUAA